CGGUUGUCACGCCAGUGGCAGCGCCGGGUAGCCAUGGCCGGUUUGGAUAAGCGCUGAAAGCAUCUAAGUGCGAAGCCAACUCCAAGAUAAGGUCUCCCACCGGGUUAACCGGGUAAGGGCCCUGGUAGACAACCAGGUUGAUAGGCCGGAGGUGUAAGAGAAGCAAUUCUUUGAGCUGACCGGUACUAAUAGCCCGAGGGCUUGUUCACCUAUAACUCACUCU
rnacentral:rRNA from 1 species